rnacentral:rRNA from 1 species
AACGAACGCUGGUGGCAGGCCUAACACAUGCAAGUCGAACGCCCCGCAAGGGGAGUGGCAGACGGGUGAGUAACACGUGGGAAUCUUCCUCGUAGUACGGAACAACUCAGGGAAACUUGAGCUAAUACCGUAUACGCCCUUCGGGGGAAAGAUUUAUCGCUAUGAGAUGAGCCCGCGUCCGAUUAGCUAGUUGGUGAGGUAAUGGCUCACCAAGGCUACGAUCGGUAGCUGGUCUGAGAGGAUGAUCAGCCACAUUGGGACUGAGACACGGCCCAAACUCCUACGGGAGGCAGCAGUGGGGAAUACUGGACAAUGGGCGCAAGCCUGAUCCAGCCAUGCCGCGUGAGUGACGAAGGCCUUAGGGUUGUAAAGCUCUUUUGGCGGGGAAGAUAAUGACGGUACCCGCAGAAUAAGCUCCGGCUAACUUCGUGCCAGCCGCCGCGGUAA